GAUGAACGCUGGCGGCGCGCCUAAUACAUGCAAGUCGAGCGAACAGACGAGGAGCUUGCUCCUCUGAUGUUAGCGGCGGACGGGUGAGUAACACGUGGAUAACCUACCUAUAAGACUGGGAUAACUUCGGGAAACCGGAGCUAAUACCGGAUAACAUGUUGAACCGCAUGGUUCAACAGUGAAAGACGGUCUUGCUGUCACUUAUAGAUGGAUCCGCGCCGCAUUAGCUAGUUGGUAAGGUAACGGCUUACCAAGGCAACGAUGCGUAGCCGACCUGAGAGGGUGAUCGGCCACACUGGAACUGAGACACGGUCCAGACUCCUACGGGAGGCAGCAGUAGGGAAUCUUCCGCAAUGGGCGAAAGCCUGACGGAGCAACGCCGCGUGAGUGAAGAAGGUCUUCGGAUCGUAAAACUCUGUUAUUAGGGAAGAACAAAUGUGUAAGUAACUAUGCACGUCUUGACGGUACCUAAUCAGAAAGCCACGGCUAACUACGUG
rnacentral:rRNA from 1 species